CCAAAGGCCGGCCCUGGAUGUAUGUACCGUUACCACGCUGGCCAACGUGAUGACGUCAUCACGGGUCAUGCGAGAUUUCGGGCUAGAUCUUCAAUCAAGAUGGCGGCGGCCGAUCAAAUGGAGGAAAGAGCAAAAGUUCAUCAGUUAUGACCACGAGAGGCUUCAAUGGCAUCUAGACCCCGGGCUACGAAGGUCGUUAAAUGAGAUGAGAGGUGGUGGAGGAACAGACCCAAAUGUCAGACGUUGACGCAGACUACAGAGAUGGAUAAGGAGAACUAAGCCUUCAAGUGACCACCAAGAGUUUCCUGUGUGUGAGAGCCCAAGAAAAACCCUAUAGGUGUUAUCCCACGGUGCAAGGGGCUUACCGUACUACAGAUACCUUCAACCUUCUGUGGAAAAAAAACUUGCUGGAUGAGUUACAGAAAGAAAGAAAAUGUCUUCUACAACGUGUGCGAGGAUCUUCUUUCUGAUGCCGAAGCUUGGAUGUCUGCCUGGGUAAUUCUUUCAUGGGUAAAGUCUGCUUCAAUUCAUGAAUUCACCCACUUGGACUUGUGCCAUGACCUUGCUAAUUACAAAGACAGACUGGAAAAUAUAGUUUAAAAAAAAAACUGGUUGCCCACAUCUGGCUCUGGUGUGAGUAACUAGAAUUGUGGGUGCACUGCAGGGUCUCAGGAUCUUUACAUGAGAAUGUUUUAUUGAAGAUUUUUGUUUACUAUUUUUAUUUCAUUCAUAUUCUCCGUGCAUUCAGUACUUGGAAUUCCCAUUGUGUGAUUCAUACCCCUUUAGUUUCUGGAUCAAGGAGAAAACUGAGCAGUUAGAUUAUCGUAAUAUUGUAACUUUACAAAAAUAUUUCAUGCUUGUUUUAAUAUAAAUAAGGCCUCAUGCACACGGCCGUUGUUGUGGUCCGCAUCCGAGCAGCAUUUUUUGCGGCUUGGGUGGGGACCCAUUCACUUCAAUGGGGC